CAUCGUUGUGCGCAAAACACUUCAGCUGUGAGCGUAUCGUCCGAUUCUGGCAGCAGCGUCAUACUGUUCUGAGAAUCGAGUACAGGAUCUCUUCAAACACUUUCCUCGCCACCACCAUAUCGUUUACAUAACAGGAGGGCAUAGGGAAUUGUGUUAGUGUGCCCAUCAACACCCUGGAGCGCUUAAAGGCCACAUAUGAAGGUGCAGCAGCAGCUCCCACCUUCGCUAGGAACCUUUUGAGGGCUGUUUUUGCUGACGACGAAUUGCUCGGGAGAUCCCUCUUAGGGAUGCAGUCCAACGUUUGCAAAGAAAAGGUGCCCAAGCUACCAUUAGAUGAGUGGCGAAGAGAUGCUGUCAUUGCGUUCCUGGCGGGUGGAUUGGGGGAGGGGGACUCGCACUGCCCCAAUUGUGAAAUCAACUAAACUUGUGGCUUCUUUGGUGUAGCAGCGGGACCAGUAAAAAAGCUUGGCAUCGUUGCUGCUGUCCAUAGAGAAGACUGCUUCGAUACGAGAAAAAUGACCAAUGCCAUGUAUCUGA